CCCUUCGAUGUUCUGGGCCGCACGCGCGCUACACUGAUUCAUGCAACAAGUUUUGUCCUUGGCUGAUAGGCCUGGGUAAUCUUUGAACGUGAAUCGUGAUGGGGAUAGAUGAUUGCAAUUAUUCAUCUUCAACGAGGAAUUCCUAGUAAACGCAAGUCAUCAGCUUGCAUUGAUUACGUCCCUGCCCUUUGUACACACCGCCCGUCGCACCUACCGAUUGAAUGGUCCGGUGAAAUCUUCGGAUCUGAGAGAUGUCUGAUUAAUUUCGGACGCCUUUUGGAAAAGUUGCUUAAACCUUACCAUUUAGAGGAAGGUGAAGUCGUAACA
rnacentral:rRNA from 1 species